rnacentral:rRNA from 1 species
UACGUAGGGUGCGAGCGUUAAUCGGAAUUACUGGGCGUAAAGCGUGCGCAGGCGGUUCGUGAUGUCUGAUGUGAAAGCCCCGGGCUCAACCUGGGAAUUGCAUUGGAAACUAGCGGGCUGGAGUGUGGCAGAGGGGGGUGGAAUUCCACGUGUAGCAGUGAAAUGCGUAGAGAUGUGGAGGAACACCGAUGGCGAAGGCAGCCCCCUGGGCUAACACUGACGCCUCAUGCACGAAAGCGUGGGGAGCAAACAGG